rnacentral:rRNA from 1 species
GGGCCCGCACAAGCAGUGGAGUAUGUGGUUUAAUUCGAAGCAACGCGAAGAACCUUACCAGGGCUUGACAUCUGCCGAAUCCCAAGAGAUUGGGAGUGCCUUUUAGGAACGGCAAGACAGGUGGUGCAUGGUUGUCGUCAGCUCGUGUCGUGAGAUGUUGGGUUAAGUCCCGCAACGAGCGCAACCCUUAUUGUUAGUUGCCAUCAUUUAGUUGGGCACUCUAACGAGACUGCCGGUGACAAAUCGGAGGAAGGUGGGGACGACGUCAAAUCAUCAUGCCCCUUAUGUCCUGGGCUACACACGUACUACAAUGGCCGCAAACAACGGGAAGCGAAGCCGCGAGGCGGAGCAAAUCCCCAAAAGCGGUCCCAGUUCGGAUUGCAGGCUGAAACUCGCCUGCAUGAAGUCGGAAUUGCUAGUAAUCGCAGAUCAGCAUGCUGCGGUGAAUACGUUCCCGGGCCUU